GGAUGAUCCGCCACACUGGAACUGAGACACGGUCCAGACUCCUACGGGAGGCUGCAGUCGAGAAUCAUUGUCAAUGCACGGAAGUGUGAACAUGCGACGCCGCGUGGAGGGAGACGGCCCUCGGGUUGUAAACUCCUGUCAGCAGGGAGUAAGGGUAGCAUUACUAAUAGUGAUGUUAUUUGAUAGUACCUGCAGAGGAAGUCACGGCUAACUCUGUGCCAGCAGCCGCGGUAAUACAGAGGAGGCGAACGUUGUUCGGAUUUACUGGGCGUAAAGGGUCCGCAGGCGGCUCGGUGUGUCAGAUGUGAAAGCCCACGGCUUAACCGUGGAAUUGCAUUUGAAACCGCCGAGCUAGAGUACUGGAGGGGAGAAGGGAACACUUGGUGUAGCGGUGAAAUGCGUAGAUAUCAAGUGGAACACCGGAGGCGAAGGCGCUUCUCUGGACAGAUACUGACGCUCAUGGACGAAAGUUAGGGUAGCGAAAGGGACUAGAUACCCCUGUAGUCCUAACCGUAACCGGUGUGCACUAGACGUGGGUGGAUUUACCCCCAUCCGUGUCUGAGCUAACGCAUUAAGUGCACCGCCUGGGGAGUACGGUCGCAAGAUUAAAACUCAAAGGAAUUGACGGGGACCCGCACAAGCGGUGGAGCAUGUGGCUUAAUUCGAUGCAACGCGAAGAACCUUACCUGGACUUGUCAUAUAGCUGCAUAUGACUCGAAAGAGACAUAGCCUUCGAGGGUGCUAUACAGGUGCUGCAUGGCUGUCGUCAGCUCGUGCCGUGAGGUGUUGGGUUAAGUCCCGCAACGAGCGCAACCCCUGUGUUUAGUUGCCAGCACGUAAUGGUGGGAACUCUAAACAGACUGCUGGUGAAAACCAGAGGAAGGUGGGGAUGACGUCAAGUCAGUAUGGUCCUUAUGUCCAGGGCUGCACACGUGCUACAAUGGGCGAUACAAUAGGAAGCUAAGCCGCGAGGUGGAGCAAAUCCUCAAAAUCGUCCCCAGUUCGGAUUGGAGUCUGAAACUCGACUCCAUGAAGUUGGAAUCGCUAGUAAAGGUGUAUCAGCUACGACACCUUGAAUACGUUCCCGGGUCUUGUACACACCGCCCGUCACAUCAUGGAAGUCUGUUGCACCCGAAGUCGCUGAUCCAACCUCUCACGAGGAGGAAGGCGCCUAAGGUGUGAUCGAUAACUGGGAUGAAGUCGGAACAAGGUA
rnacentral:rRNA from 1 species